AGAGUUUGAUCCUGGCUCAGAAUGAACGCUGGCGGCGUGCGUAACACAUGCAAGUCGAACGAGAAAUUCCGGGCUUGCUCGGGAGAGUAAAGUGGCGAACGGGUGAGUAACGCGUGGGUAAUCUACCUCCGAAUUGGGGAUAACAUUGCGAAAGCGGUGCUAAUACCGAAUAAUAUCCCCGGGACCCCGGUCUUGGUGAUCAAAGGUGGCCUCUACAUGUAAGCUACCGUUUGGAGAUGAGCCCGCGUACCAUUAGCUUGUUGGUAGGGUAAUGGCCUACCAAGGCUUCGAUGGUUAGCUGGUCUGAGAGGAUGAUCAGCCACACUGGAACUGGCACACGGUCCAGACUCCUACGGGAGGCAGCAGUGAGGAAUUUAGCGCAAUGGGGGAAACCCUGACGCAGCAACGCCGCGUGAGUGAUGAAGGCCUUCGGGUCGUAAAGCUCUGUCAAGUGGGAAGAACCUGCUUCGUGAUAACACCACGGGGCACUGACGGUACCACUGAAGGAAGCACCGGCUAACUCCGUGCCAGCAGCCGCGGUAAUACGGGGGGUGCUAGCGUUAUUCGGAAUCAUUGGGCGUAAAGGGCGCGUAGGCGGUCGCUUAAGUCAGAUGUGAAAGCCCUCGGCUUAACCGAGGAAGUGCAUUUGAUACUAAGUGACUUGAGUAUGGGAGAGGGAAGCGGAAUUCCUGGUGUAGCGGUGAAAUGCGUAGAUAUCAGGAGGAACACCGGUGGCGAAGGCGGCUUCCUGGACCAAUACUGACGCUGAGGCGCGAAGGCGUGGGGAGCAAACAGGAUUAGAUACCCUGGUAGUCCACGCAGUAAACGGUGAACACUAGGUGUAGCGGGUAUUGACCCCUGCUGUGCCGAAGCUAACGCAUUAAGUGUUCCGCCUGGGAAGUACGGCCGCAAGGUUAAAACUCAAAGGAAUUGACGG
rnacentral:rRNA from 1 species